UACGAGAGGCCCAAGCGUUAUUCGGAAUUACUGGGCUUAAAGCGUUCGUAGGCGGCGCAGUAAGUAGGGUGUGAAAGCCCUCGGCUUAACCGAGGAAUUGCGCUCUAAACUACUGUGCUCGAGGAACCUAGAGGUGAGCAGAACUGAUGGUGGAGCGGUGAAAUGCGUUGAUAUCAUCAGGAAUACCGGAGGCGAAGGCGGCUCACUGGGGGUUUUCUGACGCUGAGGAACGAAAGCCAGGGGAGCGAACGGG
rnacentral:rRNA from 1 species